rnacentral:rRNA from 1 species
GACGUAGGGCGCGAGCGUUGUCCGGAUUCAUUGGGCGUAAAGCGCGCGUAGGCGGCUGCGCAAGUCGGUUGUGAAAUUCCGGGGCUCAACCCCGGAACUGCGUCCGAUACUGCGUGGCUAGAGGUAGGUAGGGGAGAUCGGAAUUCCUGGUGUAGCGGUGAAAUGCGCAGAUAUCAGGAGGAACACCGGUGGCGAAGGCGGAUCUCUGGGCCUUACCUGACGCUCAGGCGCGAAAGCUAGGGGAGCGAACAGG